UCCAGACCCUACGGGAGGCAGCAGUGGGGAAUAUUGCACAAUGGGGGAAACCCUGAUGCAGCAACGCCGCGUGAGUGAAGAAGUAUUUCGGUAUGUAAAGCUCUAUCAGCAGGGAAGAGAAUGACGGUACCUGACUAAGAAGCCCCGGCUAACUACGUGCCAGCAGCCGCGGUAAUACGUAGGGGGCGAGCGUUAUCCGGAUUUACUGGGUGUAAAGGGAGCGUAGACGGUUCUGCAAGUCUGAAGUGAAAGCCCGUGGCUUAACCGCGGAACGGCUUUGGAAACUGUGCAGCUAGAGUGCAGGAGAGGUAAGUGGAAUUCCUAGUGUAGCGGUGAAAUGCGUAGAUAUUAGGAGGAACACCAGUGGCGAAGGCGGCUUACUGGACUGUAACUGACGUUGAGGCUCGAAAGCGUGGGGAGCAAACAGGAUUAGAUACCCCUGUAAA
rnacentral:rRNA from 1 species